GGGGAAUUUUCCGCAAUGGGCGAAAGCCUGACGGAGCAAGACCGCGUGGGGGAAGAAGGCUCUUGGGUUGUAAACUCCUUUUCUCUGGGAAGAACAAAAUGACGGUACCAGAGGAAUCAGCAUCGGCUAACUCCGUGCCAGCAGCCGCGGUAAGACGGAGGAUGCAAGCGUUAUCCGGAAUGAUUGGGCGUAAAGCGUCCGCAGGUGGCAGUUCAAGUCUGCUGUCAAAGACCGGGGCUUAACCUCGGAAAGGCAGUGGAAACUGAACAGCUAGAGUAUGGUAGGGGCAAAGGGAAUUCCUGGUGUAGCGGUGAAAUGCGUAGAGAUCAGGAAGAACAUCGGUGGCGAAGGCGCUUUGCUGGACCAUAACUGACACUCAGGGACGAAAGCUAGGGGAGCGAAAGGGAUUAGAUACCCCUGUAGUC
rnacentral:rRNA from 1 species